GCAGUCGUGGCCGAGUGUUAAGGUGAUGGACUAGAAAUCUAUUGGGGUCUCCCCGCACAGGUUCGAAUCCUG
rnacentral:tRNA from 1 species